rnacentral:rRNA from 1 species
GACGAACGCUGGCGGCGUGCUUAACACAUGCAAGUCGAACGAUGAAGCCCUUUCGGGGGUGGAUUAGUGGCGAACGGGUGAGUAACACGUGGGUAACCUGCCCUGUACCCUGGGAUAAGCCUUGGAAACGAGGUCUAAUACCGGAUAUGACCUGCUCUCGCAUGGGGGUGGGUGGAAAGUUUUGGCGGUGCGGGAUGGACCCGCGGCCUAUCAGCUUGUUGGUGGGGUGAUGGCCUACCAAGGCGACGACGGGUAGCCGGCCUGAGAGGGCGACCGGCCACACUGGGACUGAGACACGGCCCAGACUCCUACGGGAGGCAGCAGUGGGGAAUAUUGCACAAUGGGCGAAAGCCUGAUGCAG